rnacentral:rRNA from 1 species
AGCAGUAGCCGCGGUAAUACGAAGGGGGCUAGCGUUGCUCGGAAUUACUGGGCGUAAAGGGCGCGUAGGCGGACAGUUCAGUCGGGGGUGAAAGCCCGGGGCUCAACCUCGGAAUUGCCUUCGAUACUGGCUGUCUUGAGUAUGAGAGAGGUGUGUGGAACUCCGAGUGUAGAGGUGAAAUUCGUAGAUAUUCGGAAGAACACCAGUGGCGAAGGCGACACACUGGCUCAUUACUGACGCUGAGGCGCGAAAGCGUGGGGAGCAAACAGGAUUAGAUACCCGAGUAGUCCCUGUCUCUUAUAC